rnacentral:tRNA from 1 species
UCCCUGGUGGUCCAGUGGUUAGGGAUCUGCCUUUCAAUGCAGGGGAUGCAGGUUCAAUCCCUGUUCAGGGAA